rnacentral:tRNA from 1 species
GGUGGCUCAGUGGUAGAGUGCUUGCCUUUAACACAUGAGGCCCUGGGUUCGAUUCCUCAGUACCA